UACAGAGGGCUCAAGCGUUGUUCGGAUUCAUUGGGCGUAAAGCGUCCGCAGGUGGCACUUCAAGCCUGUCGUCAAAGACUGGGGCUUAACCCUGGAAAGGCGGUGGAAACUGAAGCGCUAGAGUGCGGUAGGGGUAGAGGGAAUUCCCGGUGUAGCGGUGAAAUGCGUAGAUAUCUGGAGGAAUACCGGUGGCGAAGGCGGCAUCCUGGACCGACAUUGACGCUGAGGAGCGAAAGCUAGGGGAGCAAACGGG
rnacentral:rRNA from 1 species